rnacentral:misc_RNA from 1 species
UACGGAAGGUGCGAGCGUUAAUCGGAAUUACUGGGCGUAAAGCGUGCGUAGGCGGUCGCGUGUGUCGGAUGUGAAAGCCCCGGGCUUAACCUGGGAAUUGCAUUCGAAACUGCGCGACUAGAGUGUGGUAGAGGAAGACGGAAUUCCACGUGUAGCGGUGAAAUGCGUAGAUAUGUGGAGGAACACCAAUGGCGAAGGCAGUCUUCUGGGCCAACACUGACGCUGAGGCACGAAAGCGUGGAUAGCGAACAGG